CCUACGGGAGGCAGCAGUGAGGAAUUUUCCGCAAUGGGCGAAAGCCUGACGGAGCAAUGCCACGUGGAGGAGGAAGGCCUGUGGGUCGUAAACUCCUUUUCUCAGAGAAGAAGUUCUGACGGUAUCUGAGGAAUAAGCAUCGGCUAACUCUGUGCCAGCAGCCGCGGUAAUACAGGGGAUGCAAGCGUUAUCCGGAAUUAUUGGGCGUAAAGCGUCCUGAGGUGGCUUACCCAGUCGACUGUGAAAGCUCAAGGCUUAACCUUGAAACGGCAGUCGAAACUUGUAAGCUUGAGUACGGUAGGGGCAGAGGGAAUUCCCGGAGGAGAGGUGAAAUUCGUAGAUAUCGGGAGGAAGGCCAAAGGCGAAAGCACUCUGCUGGGCCGAUUACUGACACUGACAGACGAAAGCUAGGGGAGCGAAAGGGAUUAGAUACCCUGUAGUCCUAGCCGUAAACGAUGGAUACUAAGUGUUAGCGCGACUCAAAACGUGCAGUGCUGCAGCUAACGCGGUAAGUAUCCGCCUGGGGAGUAUGCCCGCAGGGUGAAACGUCAAAUGAAUUGACGGCUGAGACCGNGCGAGACGACGACGAGGAGAG
rnacentral:rRNA from 1 species